UACGGAGGGUGCAAGCGUUAUCCGGAUUCACUGGGUUUAAAGGGUGCGUAGGAGGGCAGGUAAGUCAGUGGUGAAAUCUUCGAGCUUAACUCGGAAACUGCCGUUGAUACUAUCUGUCUUGAAUACCGUGGAGGUGAGCGGAAUAUGUCAUGUAGCGGUGAAAUGCUUAGAUAUGACAUAUAACACCAAUUGCGAAGGCAGCUCGCUACACGAAUAUUGACUCUGAGGCACGAAAGCGUGGGGAUCAAACAGG
rnacentral:rRNA from 1 species